GACAGAGGGGGCAAGCGUUGCUCGGAAUCACUGGGCGUAAAGGGCGCGUAGGCGGGUUCGCAAGUCGGUCGUGAAAGCCCCGGGCUCAACCCGGGAGAGUCGGCCGAGACUGCGGGUCUUGAGGGGGGCAGAGGAGACUGGAAUUCCCGGUGUAGCGGUGAAAUGUGUAGAGAUCGGGAGGAACACCGGUGGCGAAGGCGGGUCUCUGGGCCUUCCCUGACGCUGAGGCGCGAAGGCGUGGGGAGCAAACGGGAUUAGAUACCCCGGUAGUCCACGCGGUAAACGAUGACGACUAGGUGUGGGGGGGUUAGACCCUUCCGUGCCGCAGCUAACGCAUUAAGUCGUCCGCCUGGGGAGUACGGCCGCAAGGUUGAAACUUAAAUGAAUUGACGG
rnacentral:rRNA from 1 species